GGACUUAAGACGCUAUAAAUUAUGCAUUAAUGUUAAUUAGUAUUCAACUUUCAUCCAAGUUAUCCAACCAAAAAUCUGAAGAGGGUAUAAGUGAAAAUAUGGGUGGAACUGCAUGUGUGAGAAGAAGUGUGUUGCUGAUCAUGAUGAUUCUGAAUAUUGUAGUACUUGUAGUGCAGGCUAAUGAUCCUCCCGCUCCCUCUCCCUCUCUCCCUCUGCCCUCUUCUGUUUUAAUUGUGCCUGGUCACUUUCCCUCUCCCUGCUCUCAACAAGAUCAUACCAAUAGAAAUUGGUACGACUGUUGGCUUAAGUGGAUGGUGCGUUGCGAGAAAAUCACAAGUCAUCCCAAGGUGUUAAUAAAACUAAGAUGGGGACGGGGUACUAUGUACAAAGGUUGUGUUCAUCUCAUAAAAAAACUCUGCAAAGUUCCCUCAGAUCGUUCUGCUGUUAAUCGUGUCAGAUUCCCAACCAAAGCACGUUGGUUUUGAAAUAGGGAAAGCAAAAGAUCACAUGGAAACAAGCUUCAACAAUUGCAACAAGAACUACUAGCUACCUUACUCUCAAAAAUAUUUACUCUUAUGUAUCGAAAAAAUAAAUGUUUUAAUGGAAAAAUUAAAGAGCUAUUAGCCUAUGUCACGUUAAUAUAAUGCGAUAAUAAUGUGAAAAAUAACAAUGAAAGACCUUCAAUUUUUGUCACUUGACAAAAUGUUUUUCCAUGGAAUUCUUUAAUGAGGAUUUGCGAUUGUCAA